GACGUAGGGGCGAGCGUUCGUCCGGAAUUACUGGGCGUAAAGGGCGCGUAGGCGGCCGUUCAAGUCAGGUGUAAAAUACCCGGGCUCAACCCGGGGAUAGCACUUGAAACUGGGCGGCUAGAGGGCAGGAGAGGGGGAGGUGGAAUUCCCGGUGUAGUCGGUGAAAUGCGUAGAUAUCGGGAGGAAUACCAGUGGCGAAGGCGACUCUCUGGACUGACCCUGACGCUGAGGCGCGAAAGCGUGGGGAGCAAACAGGAUUAGAUACCCCGGUAGU
rnacentral:rRNA from 1 species